UCUUGCAUUUCCCUUGACUAGAAAACACAAGCUACAUCGGCCACAAAGGCAUCAACAACAGCUGCAGAAAAGACAGAAGCAGACUCUCAGAGAGGAAGUGGCACAAAUUACACAUGGAUCAGAGUUCAGUGGGAACCAGCAGAGAAAGCCCUUUCUUAGGAUAGAAAUCUUUCCUUCUACCAGGAGGUCAUAAUUGGAGAGGAUCAGUGCUCACAUUCUUUAACCUUCAACUCAAUUCUGCAAUCUGGGCUACAUUAUCUCUGCCAAAUGAUCAUCUUCUCCCUGCAAUAAAAGACUAAACUGCUCUACAUGAAAUAAGCUGAAAAAUGUGGGGAUAUUUUUUCCUGAAGAAGAGGAAGAAAAGAAAGAGUCCUUACAGAGCUACAUACUGAAAUAUUUACAAAAGAAAUGACAUGCUGUUUGGGGACUACUACAGAAUAAUCUGUGAGGGAAGAGAACAGAUGGGGGUACAGAUGACAUUAAGAGUAGAGCAAACUGUUCAAGCUGGAUGAAAGUCUAUGGGGGUUCAUUAUACUACUCUUUUAACUUGUACUAUGUCUUAAAUUUUCUUUAAAAAAUUUAAAUAAAUUUCUGCUGAGAUGUACCCUCCCUCAAUGAGAAUCAUUUACAUGAUU